rnacentral:rRNA from 1 species
UACAGAGGGUGCGAGCGUUGUCCGGAUCACUGGGCGUAAAGGGCGCGUAGGCGGCUUGAUAAGGUUGCGGUGAAAGCCCGGGGCUCAACCCCGGGUCGGCCGUGGCAACUGUCGAGCUGGAGCACUGUAGAGGCAGGUGGAAUUCCGGGUGUAGCGGUGGAAUGCGUAGAGAUCCGGAAGAACACCGGUGGCGAAGGCGGCCUGCUGGGCAGUGGCUGACGCUGAGGCGCGACAGCGUGGGGAGCAAACAGG